GUAAUCGACGAGCUGCUUGAUGAAUUACAUGGAGUGAAGUGGUUCUCCAAACUUGAUCUGCACGCCGGAUAUCAUCAGAUCCGGCUGGCAGAGGGGGAAGAAUUCAAGACCGCAUUUCAAACGCACUCGGGCCAUUAUGAGUUUAAGGUACUCUCCUUCGGUCUAGCAGGCGGACCGGCGACAUUCAUCAGUGAACUUACGGACACCCUGCAACCACUACUUCGGCACUGCGUACUCCUGUUCUUCGACGAUAUAUUGGUGUUCAGCCGUACCUGGGAAGAGCAUGUUUCUCACCUUCGCCAGGUUCUCGAGCUGCUGCGCAAGGAUCAAUGGAAAGUUAAGAGAUCUAGAUGUGAAUUUGGUCAG
rnacentral:rRNA from 1 species